ensembl:lncRNA
ACGACAUUGAAACACAAAGAAUGAAAAUAAGAUUUGCCUUACUUAUUAAAGGAAGGUUUAUGUGCUGUCAUGGCACUGUACUAAUUACUGUAACAAGCAAUUAAGCCUGCAUCCUUAUUUUGUCUGUACAAGAUUUCUGUUGCAAGCCUCAGCCCUCACAGUAUAGCUGAAGAAGUAGACAGUUGUGGGAGAAGGACACAAACACAUCCAAAGUGACUGAAUGAGAUUAUAUAAUGAUGUUAUUUCUCUUAUUCUGAGACACAGCAUGGCAGUUCUGCACUAUGGAAUAAAUACACUGUUAUCAGAAAGGCCCAGUUGGUUCCCCAAACAGCAUCCCACUCACUGAAGACAUUUAUAUGAAUUUUUUAAUAUCUAAGUUUUCUUGGAAAAUGACAUCAUGCCACUCACUCACUGUGCUUUGUUCAGAACUUGUGCUAUGCAAAAUCAUGAAAAACUGUUAAGCAGUCAGCCCUACCCCGUGGCGUUUUGCUGUCACCACUGUGGGACAAGCAGUCCCUUGUUCUGGGCUGUUGUUGACCACAGUCAUGGUUCAGAUGAGCCCUGACGUGCUCAGCUGGACAGAAGAGCACUGGCAGCUGUGGGACAAACACACAAUCAGCCAGCACCUGCCAUGCAGAGCACUCACAAGCCUCAUUCAGAACAUUAAGCUGUCCCCUGAUAGAUAAGGAGGUUACAAAAGACAGAGUAACUACACUGGAGAGAACACUACAAAUUAGACCAGCAACUGCUGCAUUGCCUAGAUUUUAUUAGUGAAGCACAGUAUACCCCAGAAAUUAAAUGUAAUGUUACUAAGGGAAAAUCUCCUGCUCCUCCCAGGUACAUGCAGGACUAACAGCAGAGAUGCUGUGGCUACUGCUGCAGGUGUUUGGCAGAGAGAAGACAAGACAGGGUUUGAGAAGAGCUACUCACAGAUCGCACCAAAAAGCUAAGGUGGUUACUGUUACACAGACCACUAACCCUUUGGUUCCUUCCAGCUCCAGCAGGGAUCCUAAGUUCAUUGUCCACUUGAAGCAUGCAGUGUCUCAGCUGAGAGGCAGAAGAAAAAUUGACAGAACUCCAUAUUCCAAAUUCAGUUUACAGUCUCACACAAACAUACCAACCGCCCAAUUCCAAGCACUGUCCAUCAAUUGUACCUAAACAUCAUAUCUUUUCAUAAUGAUUCUACAAAUAUAAAAUGCUGAUUUUUGAACACUGAUUACUCCAGUAGGCUUAACAUAUUACUCAUCUGACAUUAUAUCUGCUUCAGAAAGCAUAUAUCCAGCAUUUUUUGCAAUAUUUUGCAGUGCUGUUUUCACCUGUGAGUCAUUGCUGACUUGCAAGCAUGAACAUGAAUGAAUGAAUGUUAUGCAACUUUUACUGAAUAAGCUACUGGAUCAAUUCACUCAUCUGAGUGAAUGACGUGCUGAUAUUUUCUGUGCUUUUGAAUGAAAAGAAGCUUAGCAAAAGUGACAACAUGCAAUAUUCACACAUUACAAAAAUCACAGAGAAGUCAAGAAACAGAAAUAAUAAAUGUGUAAAUCAUAAAAGGCCA